GCGGGCGUGGCGGAAUGGUAGACGCAAGCGACUUAAAAUCGCUCGAGCUUGACUCGUGCGGGUUCAAGUCCCGCCGCCCGCACCA
rnacentral:tRNA from 1 species